rnacentral:ncRNA from 1 species
CCUGUGGAGUGUUAUACCAAAUGUUAGUAGUAUGCUGUGAAAGCUACAAGAACAGACACGUUGAAACAGGAA